rnacentral:tRNA from 1 species
AUUUAAAUAGUUUAAUAAAUUUUUAAAACAUUGAUUUGUGGAAUCAAAAAUAAAUUUUUUUUUUAAAUU